UACGGAGGGGGCUAGCGUUGUUCGGAUUUACUGGGCGUAAAGCGCGCGUAGGCGGCUUGGAUAGUUGGGAGUGAAAGCCCGGGGCUCAACCCCGGAACUGCUCUCAAAACUUCCAAGCUAGAGAUCUGGAGAGGAGGGUGGAAUUCCAAGUGUAGAGGUGAAAUUCGUAGAUAUUUGGAAGAACACCAGUGGCGAAGGCGACUCUCUGGCCAGAUACUGACGCUGAGGUGCGAAAGCGUGGGGAGCAAACAGG
rnacentral:rRNA from 1 species